UCGUAUAACUGAGGCACAAGGGCUGUUGCUGACUCAAAGUCGUGCACGCCAGAGUGUGUCCUCUCACAUAACCAUCCAUCUCACCCUUUGUGCACCACCGCGUGGGUACCCUUUGGGAUCACACCGAUCUCAGAGGGGGCUUGCGUUUUCACAAAAAAACCCCCCUUUGAAAAGUGUAGAAUGUCCUCAUUUAUGCAAUCAAUA
rnacentral:misc_RNA from 1 species